ensembl:lncRNA
UCUGAAUAAGUUUGAACUAGACCAAACGAGUCUGAGCAGACUGUGUGAUAGUGGUUUGUCGAUGUGUUCUGAACUGAAAAUCUGCUAAGAAACUUUGAACAAACGUGGCCAAAGUUGGAUGAAAAUUACAAUUUUUCGACCAUUACGGAUUUUACCUGGUCUGAAGUUGGAGUGUAUUAUUUGACCAUUUUUGGACAGGUGCGGGAGUUGCCGGCCAUUUGCCCUAGCAGGCGGAGAGAGGUCGUGGAGUGUCAGCCUAUGGUAUCUGAGGUCCAGGAGAGAUGACCUGCGCUGUUUUCCUCUGAGUAGAUAUCUGAAAAUUUCAUCGGAUCACAAGCAAAGACCUCCUGGGGACCUUCAAUGCAUCCCUUGACAAAGUUGUGCCUGGCCUGCUGAAACUGUACUGGUCUAAGAAGGAGCUCUUGGUGAGGAGAUGGAAGACCUCCUGGAUAAACUUGAUGAACAGACAUCCAACACUGUGUCCAACGGGCACUGAGAGGCCCGCCCAUUUUCCUCAAGAGAAGAUGCAACAGAGGUUUUCCUGAAGUGCUUAGACACUGACAUUUUGGAACCAGUGUUGAACGGUGCAUCAGUUGCCAUCCUCACCAUCCUACAAGAUGACGAUGCUGAUACGUCUGUGCGAGAACAUGCAGUUGUGUUGGAAGGGGACAUUGUGCUACAUAACAUUCCAGAUCUCU